CAAUAGCGUAUAUUAAAGUUGUUGCAGUUAAAAAGCUCGUAGUUGAAUUUUUGCUUGCCGCCGAUGUCGGAACUUCCGUACGUUCGGCGGCGUGCAUCCUUGGGUGGAACCUGUGUGGCAUUAGGUUGUCGUGCAGGGGAUGCUCAUCGUUUACUGUGAAAAAAUUAGAGUGUUCAAAGCGGGCUUACGCCGUUGAAUAUAUUAGCAUGGAAUAAUAAGAUAGGACCUUGGUACUAUUUUGUUGGUUUGCACACCGAGGUAAUGAUUAACAGGGACAGUUGGGGGUAUUCGUAUUCCAUUGUCAGAGGUGAAAUUCUUGGAUUUCUGGAAGACGAACUACUGCGAAAGCAUUUACCAAGGAUGUUUUCAUUAA
rnacentral:rRNA from 1 species